UACGAAGGGGGCUAGCGUUGUCCGGAAUUACUGGGGCGCAAAAGAGCUCGUAGGCGGUUCAGUAAAGUCGGGGUGUGAAAACUUUGGGCUUAAACCCAAAGCGUGCAUCCGAUACUGCUGUGACUUGAUACGGUAGGGGUAGCUGGGAAUUCCUAGUGUAGCGGUUGAAAUGCGCAGAUAUUAGGAGGAACGCCCGGUGGCGAAGGCGCCGCCUCUGG
rnacentral:rRNA from 1 species